rnacentral:rRNA from 1 species
UUCGCAAUGCCCGAAAGGGUGACGAAGCGACGCCGCGUGAGGGAUGAAGGCCCUCGGGUUGUAAACCUCUGUCAGGGCAGAAGAAGGGGAGGAGGGGAAACUCUCCAACCUUGACUGAGCCCAAAGGAAGCCCCAGCUAACUCCGUGCCAGCAGCAGCGGUAAUACGGAGAGGGCGAGCGUUGUUCGGAAUUACUGGGCGUAAAGGGCACGUAGGCGGGAUCGUAUGUCAGGGGUGAAAUCCUCCGGCCCAACCGGAGAACUGCCUCUGAAACUGCGGUUCUUGAGCGAAGCAGGGGAGAGUGGAACUCUCGGUGGAGCGGUGAAAUGCGUUGAUAUCGAGGGGAACGACGGUGGCGAAAGCGACUCUCUGGUCUGUUACUGACGCUGAGGCGCGAAAGCUAGGGGAGCAAACGGGAUUAGAUACCCCGGUAGUCCUAGCCCUAAACGAUGGGCACUAAGUAGAGGGGUUUUA